rnacentral:rRNA from 1 species
GGACCCGUCUUGAAACACGGACCAAGGAGUCUUGCAUGUGUGCUAGUCAUUGAGACUAUACUUAAAACUGAAAGGCGCAACGAAAGUGAAGGCGCGCGCUCGUCGCGCGCUCAGGGAGGAUGGAGCGUCGGUCUAGAUCGAUCUCUCGCACUCCCGAGGCGUCUCGUUUCCAAUCAGUGAAUGCAGGCGCGCUCUGAGCACAGAUGCUGGGACCCGAAAGAUGGUGAACUAUGCA